UACGUAGGGCGCAAGCGUUGUCCGGAAUUAUUGGGCGUAAAGAGCUCGUAGGUGGCUUGUCGCGUCUGCCGUGAAAGCCCAUGGCUUAACUGUGGGUCUGCGGUGGAUACGGGCAGGCUGGAGGCUGGUAGGGGCAAGCGGAAUUCCUGGUGUAGCGGUGAAAUGCGCAGAUAUCAGGAAGAACACCAAUGGCGAAAGCAGCUUUCUGGGACGGUACUGACGCUGAGACGCGAAAGCGUGGGGAGCGAACAGG
rnacentral:rRNA from 1 species